GUAGCUGGCUGGGCAAGUCCUCUGUUAAACCCACCGAUUUAAUCGUUGGCGUGUGGGGGAUACUGCUCGGCUAGGGGACGAGAGAGGCAGACGGUAUUCCCGGGGUAGGGGUGAAAUCCUAUAAUCCCGAGAAGACCACCAGUGGCGAAGGCUGUCUGCUAGAACGCGCCCGACGGUGAGGGAUGAAAGCUGGGGGAGCGAACCGGAUUAGAUACCCGGGUAGUCCCAGCUGUAAACGAUGCAAACUAGGUGUUUGGACGGCCACGUGCCGUUCUAGUGCCGCA
rnacentral:rRNA from 1 species